rnacentral:lncRNA from 1 species
GAUUUUCUUCGAAAUAUUCCAAGGGAGCAUCUUUUCAGCCCGUCUCUACGAUAAAUGGCUUGAUGUCAUUGAUCAAGGGAAUGAGGAGGAGAAAAUAACUGCGACCCAGAGGCUUGUAGACCAGCUACCGAAAGCCAAUGUCGUUUUUUUGCGACACCUUUUUGGAGUGUUACACAACAUUGAGCAACAUUCCUCAUCCAGUCAGAUGACAGCUCAUGAUUUAUCCUUGUAUCUCACCCCAAGCAUCCUUUGUCUGCUUAAUUCUGGCAGCUCAGCAUUUGAAAACGUCAGCAAAAAGGUUUCUGUGAUACAAUUCCUCAUUGAAAACUGUCUCAAGAUAUUUGGAGAAGAUAUCACUUCUCUCUUUGGAGAGAACUCAGUGAGUUGUGAUAACAGUGAUAUCACUGAUAACAGUGAGAUUUCAGACAAGAAGACAGUUAAUAAGAGUUCUGUCAAAAACUCGGCCUUUUGGUGUAGCUCCAGGACUCGCGAGGACAACCAAGACCCACCUCUACCACCCAGAAAGCAAAAACAGCUCUUUGGAGUUGCUCUUGAGGAAGUAUGUGAUAAUGACACCCUGCCCACCCCAAUUCUGGAGAUGCUUUCCUUUAUCAAUCAAAAAGGGCCGUUCACAGAAGGCAUCUUCAGAAAACCAGCCAGUAUAAAAUCCGCAAUAGCCCUAAAGGAGAAACUAAACGCUGGACACAAAGUUAACUUUGAUGAUGAAUCCGUUCUCGUAGUAUCGUCGGUCUUAAAGGAUUUUCUUCGAAAUAUUCAAGGGAGCAUCUUUUCAGCCCGUCUCUACGAUAAAUGGCUUGAUGUCAUUGAUCAAGGGAAUGAGGAGGAGAAAAUAACUGCGACCCAGAGGCUUGUAGACCAGCUACCGAAAGCCAAUGUCGUUUUUUUGCGACACCUUUUUGGAGUGUUACACAACAUUGAGCAACAUUCCUCAUCCAGUCAGAUGACAGCUCAUGAUUUAUCCUUGUAUCUCACCCCAAGCAUCCUUUGUCUGCUUAAUUCUGGCAGCUCAGCAUUUGAAAACGUCAGCAAAAAGGUUUCUGUGAUACAAUUCCUCAUUGAAAACUGUCUCAAGAUAUUUGGAGAAGAUAUCACUUCUCUCUUUGGAGAGAACUCAGUGAGUUGUGAUAACAGUGAUAUCACUGAUAACAGUGAGAUUUCAGACAAGAAGACAGUUAAUAAGAGUUCUGUCAAAAACUCGGCCUUUUGGUGUAGCUCCAGGACUCGCGAGGACAACCAAGACCCACCUCUACCACCCAGAAAGCAAAAACAGCUCUUUGGAGUUGCUCUUGAGGAAGUAUGUGAUAAUGACACCCUGCCCACCCCAAUUCUGGAGAUGCUUUCCUUUAUCAAUCAAAAAGGGCCGUUCACAGAAGGCAUCUUCAGAAAACCAGCCAGUAUAAAAUCCGCAAUAGCCCUAAAGGAGAAACUAAACGCUGGACACAAAGUUAACUUUGAUGAUGAAUCCGUUCUCGUAGUAUCGUCGGUCUUAAAGGUAAGGAAAGCUUGAGCAUCGUCCACACACAGAGUCAGUCUAAAGCUGUAUGACUGGUCCUUCACUAUGAAUGCCCAAGAAGCAUAAUAGGCAUAAGAGAGGAAGGAUCUGAAACGUGGAAAACACUUCACAAAGUCAAAAGUGAAGGAAGGUACCUCAAAUGUUAUGAGCCCCAUACAUUAGAUAUUUUCCUUUUUCAUUGCACAUCUCGGUCCUGAACACUCCAUGAAGAAGAAGAAUAAAUUUCAAAAUACCCACUUACA